UACGUAGGGUGCGAGCGUUUGUCCGGAAUUAUUGGGCGUAAAGGGCUCGUAGGCGGUCUGUCGCGUCGGGAGUGAAAACUCAGGGCUUAACCCUGAGCCUGCUUCCGAUACGGGCAGACUAGAGGUAUGCAGGGGAGAACGGAAUUCCUGGUGUAGCGGUGAAAUGCGCAGAUAUCAGGAGGAACACCGAUGGCGAAGGCAGGUCUCUGGGCCGAUACUGACGCUGAGGAGCGAAAGCGUGGGGAGCGAACAGG
rnacentral:rRNA from 1 species